AUCCUGCUUGCUAUAUUCCCGGGGAAACUCCAAUGGAAUUAAGCCUCAUAAAUGUAAAAAGAGGUAGAUAAAAGAGGCACAAACUGACAGGAGUCACUCGCUGAGCCAUCGGCAUUAUUAAAAGCCGAUAUGCUCCUUCUUCAUGUGUCAGAGUGAUCUGUCUGGGAAUCUCACGCAGUUUCCUGCUGCAGUAGGGGCCAGGUGCUCUCCUGAUUUUUUAUUUUUAUUUUUGUUUUUGGUACUGGGGAUUCAAACCUGGGUCUUCAUACUAAACUACAUCUCUUUUUAACUUUUUUACUUUGAGACAGGAUCUUGCUAAAUUUCUAAAUUGCCCAGACUAGGCUUGAACUUGAGAUCUUCCUACCUCAGCCUCCCAGAGUGCUGGGAUUACAGGCACAUGUCACCAUGCCUGGCUUCUUUUGAAUAUUUUACAGGUGCAAUAUAUUUAAUUCUAGGAGAAAGACAGUUCUGCUACCUCCAGGUUACAGUUCAAGUUGAGGCAGGAAGUUAAGAUGAGAAGGAGACAGAGGGAAAGGAGCGCUGUGCCACCGAUUCCCAGGAGCACUCCCUUGGAUAACGCGGCGGAGACGGGCGCCCUGUCUGCACAGGAUGGCAGCGGUGACCAUUUCCCUCAAGUGUCUGGUGCCACCCCCCUCGCUGUCUGCAGCCACUUCCUCCUCUAGGAACCACGACUGCAGCCUGGGUCCCAGGUCAGCGUGGCGGGGGGCCGGCUGUCAGCAGCACAGAGGAGCCUCAGGAACUGGCCUUUCUGGGCCUCCAGGAAGAACUCCUCCCAACACCACCCCUCGCAGGGCUCAUACUCUGCACCCUCCCCUCCACGGACCUCUCCAACACAGAGCCCUCUGUGUGCCGGGGCUGCGUACACACCCAGAGCCCACAGCACACUCACAGGCUAUGCUCAGUCUGACCGUCCUCUGAGUGCUCCGGCCGCCCCUGGAGAAGUCCACUCGACAGGAAUUAUUCUAAGCCCGGCAACCUAGCAUGGUCUCCAUCCCACCCUUUACCUCUGUGGUGAGGCAGUGGCCUUCGCUCCCCUAGAAGCUCCGCCCACCCCCUCUUCCGUCUUACAGUUGGCAUCUCACUGGUGACAUCUGCUGUGAUUUGAAUACUGGAGCCCACAGCUGGCAGUGUAAAGGGCAGCAGCAGGCCAUGUAAGCAGGAGGAACAGACUCCCCGCAGUGUGGGCCCCACACCUGACCUUUUCUGAGAAGAUCCUGGGUCAGAUAGAGACCCAGUGUUCAGCCACUCAGCCUCCACACACCCAUGAACCGGGCACUGGUGUCUGCUCUCAAGAGCACCUGCUUUGGUAAACGAAACUUCUUAGGAACAGAAAAGCACUGAGAUGCUCAUAGCCCCAGAUGAUGGGGCUGACAUUCAUGGGGGACCCAGGGAUGGAGUGGUCAUUCCCUUCUAGUGGAAGGAAGUCAGGACAGGUCACUGGCAGGAAGCGACCCUUAGCUGUCCUUGCUGCCCCUUGAUUCUGUUCUUAACUCCACUGGAUCCAUCUGCCCAAGCUGAUGAUAUAGAGAACA